GUGGGGAAUUUUGGACAAUGGGCGCAAGCCUGACCCAGCAAUGCCGCGUGCAGGAAGAAGGCCUUCGGGUUGUAAACUGCUUUUGUACGGAACGAAACGGCUCUGGUUAAUACCCGGGGCUAAUGACGGUACCGUAAGAAUAAGCACCGGCUAACUACGUGCCAGCAGCCGCGGUAAUACGUAGGGUGCAAGCGUUAAUCGGAAUUACUGGGCGUAAAGCGUGCGCAGGCGGUUUUGUAAGACAGGCGUGAAAUCCCCGGGCUCAACCUGGGAAUGGCGCUUGUGACUGCAAAGCUGGAGUGCGGCAGAGGGGGAUGGAAUUCCGCGUGUAGCAGUGAAAUGCGUAGAUAUGCGGAGGAACACCGAUGGCGAAGGCAAUCCCCUGGGCCUGCACUGACGCUCAUGCACGAAAGCGUGGGGAGCAAACAGGAUUAGAAACCCGUGUAGUCC
rnacentral:rRNA from 1 species